rnacentral:rRNA from 1 species
AUACGAAAGGUGCAAGCGUUGUUCGGAUUUACUGGGCGUAAAGAGAGUGUAGGUUGUUUAUUAAGUCGGAUGUGAAAUCCCGGGGCUCAACCUCGGAACUGCAUUCGAUACUGGUAGACUAGAGUUCGGGAGGGGUAAGCGGAAUUCCGUGUGUAGCAGUGAAAUGCGUAGAUAUACGGAGGAACACCUGAGGCGAAGGCGGCUUACUGGACCGAUACUGACACUGAGACUCGAAAGCGUGGGUAGCAAACAGAAUUAGAAACCCUAGUAGUCC